UUCGAGUGGCGGACGGGUGAGUAACGCGUGGGUAACCUGCCUUACACAGGGGGAUAACACCUGGAAACAGGUGCUAAUACCGCAUAAGCGCACAGGGCCGCAUGGCCCGGUGUGAAAAACUCCGGUGGUGUAAGAUGGACCCGCGUCUGAUUAGCUUGUUGGCGGGGUAGGGGCUCACCAAGGCGACGAUCAGUAGCCGGCCUGAGAGGGUGGACGGCCACAUUGGGACUGAGACACGGCCCAAACUCCUACGGGAGGCAGCAG
rnacentral:rRNA from 1 species